AAUUUAUAUUAUGAAUUCAAUAUUAAUUAUUUAUCUAUUUUAUAUUAUUAAAAUACUAAGGUGUAAAAAAAUGUUUGUGUUGUGUGUAGAAUAUAUUUAUAGAAUACCCGCACAUAACAUAAAUUCGAAAUGCAAACCUGUGGUGAUAUCUGUUUAACACGUUGUUAUAUUAUAGACUGUGCGUCAAGUUAAAGAUAAAAACGAAUGCAUCCAAAAUAAAGAGAAAUUUUUUUUCUCGAUUUUGAACAUCGUUAAUCAAUGCACGAAAAUUUACAUCUUCUGUUUAACAUCGUUUUCACAUAAUUGAUACUUAUGCAGAUCAUCCAUACAUUGUGAACGAUGAAUGGCACGCAUCAUAUCUUCUGGUUUCCAAAGAUAAAGAAAAAAAACUCGAAAGAAGAACGUUUUGUGAACAGCUUCUCAAGGAGAUUACUUUGAACGUGACCACAAUGAUACUCUGGAAUGAAAUAAAAUGGUCUCUCUCGUUUUCCAUAUAUAUAUAAACGAAGAAAAUUUUCAAGGAAAGUCAAAACAAAUUAUUUCGAUGUUAAAAAUCUAUAUCGGCAAUAUGACAUGGAUAAAAGAAAAAGGAAUAAGAAAUACUUAGAAAUAUAGCUGUUACCAACAAGAAUUCGAAAGUGUCGCUAAGCAUCUUUUUAUUGACAAUUGCAUAAUAGGAAAUAUGGUAACAAAUGGAAUCUCAAUACUUCCGUAUCGUAAUCGAACAAUUUCUCUUAUUGAUUUAUUGAUGAAAAUAAAUAAAAACGUCUAAUCUUUUUUAUUUUAAAAAAAAAUAAUUUAUAUCAAAUUACAUCAGUGUUUUUAAUCUAUGGACCACAGAAAUGCAAAUUUUUCAUCGAUAUUUUCAUAUUUUCGUAUUCUCGUAUUUUUUACUAGUUGCAUUCAUUCUAUCGUUGAUGUUGAAAAUAAUUAUUCAAAAAUGUCAAAACGUAUGUGAUAAUC